rnacentral:rRNA from 1 species
AUGCAUUGCAACCUAAACGUUCAUAUAUAUAGUUUGUGUGUCCAAGCCAGGGAAAUUUCCGAAAAGAUGAAGCAGAAGCUUUGGAACAUAAGGAAAGCAGAGCAGAUGUCUCUUCACAUGAGCUCGUCGUCGUCGUCGAUGUCGCUGAGCGGGUCGUCAAUGGCGUCCGUGUGCGUCAUGCGCGCGGAUGCCUGCUUGACCCACCGCGCCAUCUUGGCCGUCUCCCUGCUGACCUUGACCUGCUCCUCGAGCGCCUUCUUGAGCUUGCGCUGCUGCUCCUUGAGCUCCGUCACCAUCCUCCUGUUCUCGUCGCCCCACUCGCCGGCGUCGAUGCCGAGGACGUCGCCCGGCGCUCCUCCGACGCGGUCCUUCCUGCUCCGCCCCGUAGGGGCCCUCUGCAGGGCCUUCUUGGCCGAGAAGGGGAAGCAGCACGCCUGGCGCGGCGGCGGCGGCGACAGGGAGCCGUCGUCGUCCCUGCACCUGUUCCGCUCCCUCAGCGUCGGCCGGCCGCGCCCUGCCCCGAAGAGCCGCUCCAGGUCCUCCUCCUCCUCGUCGCCAUCUUCUCGGGCCGCGGGGACGCUCGUCUUACGAGGAUCAGCCUGCGGCGGAGGGUGCUGCUCCUUCUGCUCUUGGCUCGCCGGGGCGACCGGUGUGGGCGAGGGAGGGUCCGCGUGCGGUUGCGGGAGCGGGUCGGCAGGAGGAUCGCCGCGGCGCUGCGGCGGCGCGGUGGAGCUGCGGCCCAGGGUCUUGGCGGGCGGCGCGGGGGCGGUGGGGAGGGACUUGAGCUUGCGGAAGCGGGACUCGAGGCUGGACGGGAGCGCCGAGUCGUCGAGGCCGGCGAGGUGCGCCGUGUUGAGCCUGGCGAUCUGCUCCAGCGCGACCAGGUCGGCCGCCUCCGCGAGGAUGGCGUCCACCGCCGACAUCCCGCCGCCGCCAGCUCCCUUGGAGUACGCCAUGGCCGGACCCGGCGGCGCCGCGAGGUGGGGAUCAGGAGUUGAGGACUGA